CCCCUAGAUGUUCUGGGCCGCACGCGCGCUACACUGAACAGUUCAACAAGUCUUAACCUUGGCCGAUAGGUCUGGGUAAUCUUUGAACGCUGUUCGUGACUGGGAUAGACCUUUGCAAUUAUGGGUCUUCAACGAGGAACUCCUAGUAAACGCAAGUCAUCAGCUUGCAUUGAUUACGUCCCUGCCCUUUGUACACACCGCCCGUCGCACCUACCGAUUGAAUGGUCCGGUGAAAUCUCGGGACGGCGGCUUGGUCGCUUGCGUCCGACUGCUGAAACUUGAUUAAACCAUAUCAUUUAGAGGAAGGUGAAGUCGUAACA
rnacentral:rRNA from 1 species